ACUCUGUUGCACAAGCUAAUAUGCAGUGGCAUAAUCUCCGCUCACUGCACACUCUGCCUCCUGGGCAGCUAGGACUACAGGUGUGCUCCACUACACCUGACUAAUUUUUGUACUUUUUUGGUAGAGACAGGUUUUUGUCAUGUUGCCCUGGCUGGUCUUGAGCUCCUGAGAUCAAGUACUCUAUCUACCUUGGCCUUCCAAAAUGCUGGAAUUACAAGCAUGAGCAACUGAGCCUGGCCACUUUUUUUUUUCUUUUUGAAUUUUCAAGCACCAAGCAAGUCUUUCUUACAGAUUCUCUGGGACAAUGUUCUUCACUACAGUAAUAUUCUUUUUAUGUGUUUGUCUUCUCAAUCUGAUCCUACCCUUCUCAUGGAUGGGGAAUAUCUUUGUAUUCCCCUAGGAUCUUAACAACAUUUCGGAAAUGUUACAGGUCCUUCAUAAAUGUCUGUUCAUUAGUCAAGUGUUCAAUAUUCAUUCAAUGUCAUAUACAUAUUCUUUAAGUAGUAGAGAUGGGUCUCAAGGUAUGAGAGAAUUGCCUUGACUCUGUGCAUCACAGAGCACUUAGUGUUAGACUGAAAAUUUAUUAAUCACUUGCAUCAGAGGAAAAGGCUCACAUGAAAGUUGCUUGAUGAUGGACACCUCCAAACACACACAUUAUCUUGAUCCUUCAUCUAAUGGUUAAGUUAUGGUUCUCAGAGUGGUAGAAAAGACCUAUUACCAGAAAAUUAUAAUCAUGUGAUAAGUGCUAUUAUUCCUAUGUAAGAGGAAGUGUAGGAAGCACAUGGGAGGGGCCUCCACCUAGUGGGCAGGGGAGGCUUCUUAUAGGAGAUGAUAGAUCACCUGAGCCAAGGGGCAUGCAGGCUGUAUAGGCAAAAUCAGGGAGGGUGUUUCACAAUGAAAGAGCCAUAUGUGAGUCAGCCUGGAGCCCCAGACAACAGCCUCUCUUUGAAGAGCAGAAAGCGGUUUAACAUGAUUGGAGAUUAUGGGGACAGAAGGCAGUGAGUUAUCAGGUUCAAGGCUGAGUGGUGAAGGAUCAGGAAGGGCACGGUAAACUUUUCAAAAGAGUUUGGCCUUUAGCCAGAGGAUACUGGAAAACAACUGAAGGGUUUUAAUCACUGGGAUGAGCUCACUGUGAAAUAGCAGCCUGGCUGGUGGGUUGAGAGUAGAUUUGAGCAGGACAAAAUGCAAGCAGUGAGAGCAGGAGACAACGGGAAUCAUCCAGGAGAGCCAGAGUUGUUUCCCAGGCUAGAGUAAUGCAAGUGCAUUUGGAGAGAGCCUGGUAUGGCAUGAGAUAUUUAUAAGGCAGACAUACUAGGGCUGGAUAGAAUGUGGACAUUUGAAGUUUGGAGAAAUAAGGAUUGCACUUACAGAAAUGAUUCUUUUCAUGGAUAAAGGAAACACAAAUAACUGAGUUAUAGAAGAAAGUUCAUAAAUUUGGGACAUUCUGAGUUUUAAGUGUCUGUGGAACAUCCGCGUGGGGAUAUACAACUAUGAAAGUGCACGUUUGAGUCUGAAACUCAUGAGCUCAUUCCCUGGAAAUAGAGAUUUUUAGAGGUGAGAACCCACAGGAGAUCGUGAAUGCAAAGAAGUAGAUGAAGCUGCCCAGAGUUAAUUCAGGCAGUGAGAUGAAGCCCAAGGUUGCAGUAUUUACAUGCAGCAGAAAACCAACCACAGAGCUGGCUAAAGCGUUGUGCUGUGCUGUCACUCAUUUUUCACCUCCUCAUUCCUUUGCCCAGUUACCUAUUCAUUCAUUGUUAUAUUCAUUCUUUUCUUUCUCUAUUCAUCUAUGCACCCGGUAAUUAUUUAUUGAGCCAGACGCUGCGCUGAGCUCUGAGUAUUCACAGAUGAAUGAGAUACAAUUUCUGAUCUAAAAGGGGCAAAUGUCUAGUUUAAUAACAGCCAAGGCAGUCAAUGAGAUUCGUAAUGACAACACAAGGUAUUAAGUACUUGAAUGUUAGUAGAGAAUUAUUUGAAUGUAGGUUCCCCUACUCUGGGAAUGCUUUCACAAGGAGAAAAUGCUCGAGUGGAGACGUGAAGGACAGACAGAGCCCUGAGAAGUAGGUGUAGAGGUGCUAGAGUAUUGCAGAGCAAAAACUAUUGCAUAAAAUGCAUGGACCUCAAGAAAUUCCUAAUUGGUCAUCGUGACUCAGCCAAAGGGUAUUGAGAUAAGAAGUGUCUCUAUGAGCUCAUGACGAAGGAGGACCUUGUACACUGUGAUAAGUAAUUUAAACAAAUCUUGGAAGCAGUAGGAAACAACAGCUUGACUUUUAUCUACACGGUUUUAAGAGGCAUGAUGGAUUGGAGGUUUGGUUGAUGAAUCACUCAGUGCAGAAGUAGACAAAAAGGCAGGAUGGGGUUGUGCUCAAAACCUCACUGGAAUGAUGAGGGUGUGACUGCAGUCACAGGAGUGAUGGAGAGAUGUAACACCAUCUGAGAGAUGCGAAGUGAGCCACAGCAGCAAGAGCGUAUUCACGUGAGGGUCUCCUCCCCUCCCCACUGCAACUCUGACCACAACAGAGCAUCGACGGAUCAUCCGUUUCAUUUGUUUUCCUCCUUGGAAUUUCAAAGCAAGAAAGCACAAUCAAGGCUGGGAACAUUCUCUCCAUAAAAGCAGCCAGGCAGAGUAAGAACUAAACCGUCAGGGAAUCUGUACCUUGAGUGACCUAGGAAAACCGAAGGCUUUGGACAAAGAGAAAGGCUGGAGUGCAAUGGAGUGAUCUCAGCUCACCACUACUUCCACCUCCCGGACUCAAGCAAUUCUCCUGCCUCAGCCUCUCAGGUACAGAGCCUGUGUGACCGUAGAGCUUCUAUGUCUACAAGCCGGCCUCACACACAGCUGACAUCCUGCCAGGAGACCGCUACAUUCCAGGGUUCCAAGAGAGGAUAUUAAUACAUGAACUAUGAACAGAGAGAAUCAGAAUGGCAGAUAGAGGAGCAUCUGAGCAAAGUCCCACUCUGUCACCCAGGCUGGAGUGCAAUGGGGUGAUCUCGGCUCACUGCAACCUCUGUCUCCCAGCUUCAAGUGAUUCCCCUGCCUCAGCCUCCCGAGUAGCUGGGAUUACAGUGUUUGGGAUUUCAUGACUUCGGGAUGGUCAACAAGAUUUACAAACAUUUUCUGCAAAGGACAGCUUUGAAGCAUUGAGACAGGGGAAGGUUUCAGGUUGCUGAACUAUUCCCUGGCAUUCUUCCAAACCAAGGCCAAUCUCCAUGGAACAAUGACUGGCAGCUCUUCUUUGGUAACACGGCCUCCUGAACUUAUCUUGCUGUUCUCCCUCCUUGUUUCUGCCCAAGGUUGUGUUCCUUCCUCAGAGACUGGCCAAGGGUGAACUGAGGGAUGGCAGCUGCCACGUGACAUGUUUGCCAUGGAGCAUUUACAUUUGCCUGGUGCCUGAGCAGCUGGACAUGGAGGCAAGAAACUCCCAUCACUUGUGUUCAUGUGCUGUUCAAUGCUCCCGGGCAGCUGGAGAGGAAGACAAGGCAGGGAAUUGGGGUCUCCUGUCAUAUCCACCUCCUGCUGCCAUCACCGUCUGCACACAAGGCUGCAGGGAAGCCCUGUCUCCCUGCCCGUCACCAGGAGCCAAGGAAAAAUACUCCAGGUGUAAGUGGCAGCUCAGGGGCCUCGAGGCAGGGUGCAUCCUGUCUCCAGCAGAAACCAGCUGUUUCUCUGCAGUUUUUAUACAGCAUCUAUUUUCAUUAUCUUUCUGUCCCUUUGCCUCUUUAUCUUCCAUCCAUACUUUCAACCAUCCCUUGCCUGUUUCAAUAAAUUAUUUGAAGUAACAUGGAAUUUCAGAUAACACAAAAGGAUAGAGGAAGGCAGUCAGGGCCAAGCCUGCUUGCCUGGCGCCAGGGGCCUAGUGAGUAGGAAUGACGGAGCCUUUGCAGUAAAUUGAGUGCCAUUACCCUCUAAUGAUGAGAAGCUACUGUUCUUCCUCUAACGACUUCAACUUUGAACUUCCUUUUCUCUUGGGCAUCUUGUGGAUUGACAAGCCGUCUCUUAGGACCAUCCAUGUUCCUAUUAACAUACUCAACCAGCGCAGAUGAUUGUCCAAUAAUAGUACAACAUUUGUGUAAUGCUUUACAACAGUAACUAAUUGAUUCUCAGGAGGAGAGGAUUCCUACUGUGCUUAGGGAUUUUGGGGUUCUGUUUUGUUUUCAGACUUCUGCCGAGGUCUCUCAGAAGAGCAGGAGGACUUCAAAGGGCAAACAUCGCAGGUCACAGCUCAGCCUUUUUCUCAGACCUUCCCAUAGCUUGAUCAAGGAUGGAGUGGGUGGGAGUAAUGUUUGAGAAGGACAGUUGCAGGGAUGGAGAGAGAGACCUAGUACCAGGGAAAGAACACAGAGCUAGAGGUAGGCUUAGACGUGAAUCCUUGCUCAGCAACUGCCUUGCUGGGUGAUCACAGGUUGGCCCCUUUGCCUCUCUGGGCCUCUUUUUCACCAGCUCUGAAAGAUGGCAUUGAAUUAAGUGAAUCCCAGACAUUUCUCUAAGGUAAGCAUUGGGAGUCUGUGCACUUCCUAACAAAGGCCUUUCAUGAAGGAACAGUGCAUAGUGCCCAGCUUGCAAAUCUCGGGAUUCUGUCUCAUGUCAGGUUCUCAGUUCCUCUGCCUCACAUUCCUUUAUAGCUUGUUACAAAAGCUGAAAGGACAAAAAUGAAGAUAAUGAAACACGGUGCAAAGAGUGAAUCAGUCACUACGCCCCUCAUUCCAUACACAGUAAAUUAUCACCAGCUGUUGCCCAAUUAAAUGCAACAAUCCAGCAGUGCACCAGCAGUUCACAGGAGAUUCCAGUGCACACUGUGUACCCAGCUGAGCCACUUCCAUGAAAACCCAGAGGAUUUCAACAUAAAAAACACAUUUUUCCAUAAACCACAUUUGUGUUUUCACUAGAAUCAUUCCAAUACAAAGACUUAGUGAACAGAAGUGGACUCUGUGAGCAAAUUUUGCUCUGGAUUUUUGUACACACUCUGCCUUUAGCUUCAUGUAGAAGGGAGUCUGCAGGGAGAAGUUCUCAUUACAAGUGCGGGGAGAUUAUCUAAAACUCUUAGUAAUGCCCUGUAAGAUGAGCAGAUAAAUGUAACGUCAUGAGUAGGUGCUCUCUUGACGUUAAGCAUUUAACUUAACUCAUCAUACAUUUAUUGUGCAUCCUCCGGUGCCAGGCAUUUUUCCAAGUCUCCGAAGUUGAAGAUCAGUAAGACAGGGUUCCUGCUAUGAGGAAACUCAAAGUCCAGUGCAAUUGACAGGUGUGAAAAUUAUUAGACAAUGUUACAAUGUUGUAAGGGUGGUAUUGGGAUCUUGUAUCAAAAAAGCAAGCAUUCAGAUGUUCAGGGGAGCCAGAGGAAGCUUCUAGAAGGAGCUGUGUUAGAGCUGGGACAAAGGCAUGGCAAGCUCCUAAUAUACCUCAUUAUUUUCCUAUAAUAUAGGGCUUGUUUAAGUAAUGGUUUUCUAUCAGCAUGGAUAUGGUGAAAAGGGAACACUUUUACACUGCUGGUGGGAAUGUAGACUAGUAUAAAUGCUAUGAAAAACAGUGUGGAGACUCCUUAAAGAACUAAAGGUAGAUCUAGUUUACCUUUGUUUGAUCCAGCAAUCCCAUUACUGGGUAUCUAUCCGGAGAAAAAGAAGCCAUUAUACGAAAAAGCCACAUGCAUGUUUAUAGCAGCACAAUUCACAAGUGCAAAAAUAUAGAACCAGCCCAACUGCCCAUCAAUCAAUCAACGAGUGGAUAAAGAAAUUGUGUGAGAUAUACAUGCACACACACACGUAUACAUAUACAUACAUAUAUAUCUCAAUAUGCAUAUAUAUCACAAUUUCUUUAUAUGUGUGUAUGUAUACACACAUAUACAUACACACAUAUAAAGAAAUAUAUGUAUAUGUAUAUAUAUACAUACACGCAUAUAAAGAAAUAUAUAUAUACAUACACACACCAUGGAAUACUACUCAACCAUGUAUAUACACACAGAUACACACAUAUGUGUAAUACAUAUAUACACAUAUACAUACAUAUAUUUGUAAAUACAUAUAUACACAUAUACAUAUUGUAAUAUAUGUAUAUGUGUAUAUAUGUAUAUUAUGUAUAUCACAAUUUAUAUGUUUGUGUGUGUAUAUAUGUGUGUAUAUGUAUAUUUAUUUGUAUGUAUAUGUACAUGUAUGUGUAUAUACACACAUGCACAUACAUAUAUACACACAUGCACAUACAAAUAAAUGGUGAUACAUAUAUAUACAUAUAUAAAGAUAUAUAUACACACACACCAUUGAAUAUUACUCAGCCACACAAAGGAAUGAAAUAAUGGCAUUUGCCGCAACCUGAUGGAACUGGAGGCCAUUAAUCUAGGUGAAGGAACUCAGGAAUGGAAAAUGAAACAUUGUAUGUUCACACUCAUAAGUGAGAGCUAAGCUAUGGCAGUUUUCUUUUUAAACAUAUGUAUUUUUUCACAAAUUCUAAUAUGUAUUUUUUAACCUUUUAUUUAAAAAUAUUUUCUCAUAUCCAUUAGGAAUUGUGAUUUCUCCGUAGUCCCAUGGAUUAUUUAGAAAUGGAAUUCUUAAUUUGUAAACAGAUACGUAUUUUAUAAUUAUCUUCCCUUCAUUCAUUUUGACUUCUAGCAUAAUUGCAUUGUCAUCAGAGGGUACACUUGCUAUAAAUUCAUUCUUUUAAAAAUUGGUCAUUUUUUGUUUAUGACUCGAUACAUAGUUAAUUUUUGUAACUAUCUUUGGCAUGAUUUAAAAGUCUCUGUAUUCUGUAGUUUGGGAGAUAACAUUCUAUAUAUGUAUAAGUCAAGUUUAUUAUUCAAGUUCUUUAAAUCUCUAUAUUUUCACUAUAUGUUUAUUGUUGUUUUGGUCUGCUCGGACCAAUCAUUAAUGAGGGUUGUGCCAAUAUUUUUAAUACCAUUGUGAAUUUUUCUAUUUCUCCUUAUAGUGGUAGCAAUUUUUGUCUUGUAUUUUGAGGCUAUACUACUGACUGCACACAAAUUUAGAAUCACUUUUUAUCUUCUGGGUGAUUUUAAUGUUCUAUUGCUGUGCAUUGCUCUCUUUAUGAAUGCGUUUUGCCUCAUUUGUCUAGUAUAUCUAACAUAUUAGGUUUCUUUUGGUUGGUGUUUGAAUGGUGUGUGCUUUUUCUUUUAACUUUUGACAGUUCUAUGCAUUUUAUUUAACAUAUGAUUUACAUUUAUAUGUAUAGAGUAUAUUUGGAUUUUGUUUUUUUUUUCCCACUCUGUGGCAUUUUUUAUCUUUCUGCUGGGGCAUUUAGUUUGUUUAUAUUAAAUGAAAUUACUGAUAUAUUUAUAUUAUUUUAUGCUUCCUAUCUGUCUGUUUCUUUUCCGUUUCUUCUCUGCAUUUGUUUAGUGACUAUCCUAAGAAUUAUAGCACUAAUACUUGAUUGAUCUAUAUUAACAAAUGCUUUUCUCCUCCUCUUGAACAAUACAGUACCACAUAAACUAGCUCCAUCUCUUCACCUCCUGACUCACUGGCUGCCCGUCUCUCUUGCCCUUGGGAAUGACAGGCUCGUUUAAGCAUCUCCACAGCUAACUGUGGGCCAGGGUCCCUAGAUGCCACUCAGAUUUUGCCCGUCAUUACAAUCAUUGUACCUACCUCCCUUCUAAUGAUCAAGCAUUGUCACCUGACUUUUGGUUCUGGGGAAUCCUAUUGUGUUAUGGAUAUCAGGGAACACAGUUCUGUAUCAUCAUUCUCUACUGUCAGUCUUGACUUGAAGAGAGCAGCCACAUUGAGCUUUCCUGUGAAACUGAUGCGCUAUUCAACAGAACACUCCUUGCUUUGGAAAACAGCCUCCGGUCCCUCCUGCAAUGCUUAAUUGGGUGGCAUUCCACUCCUCCCUGCUAAAAAUCAAGUGGUCUUCCAUAGCACAUUCACUCCAGCAACCCCACUUCUCUGAGACUUUUGAUUUCUUUCUUCAUGUUUGAGAUGUUCUGGGAUUUCUGUCUUUCUUAGCAUGGGCUGGUGCUUUCUCCUGGCUUCCCAGUGUGUUCUAGCAUCCUCUGCCCCCGCAUGUCCCUGGCUAGCAUCCUACCCCCCCAUGUCCCUGGCCUGCAUGCUCAACCCUUGGUUACAGGAGAGCCUGCCCUUGUCCUCCUAUGUCUCACCUUCACCUUGAGGCCAGGCCUUCAGGCUCCACUCCCCCAGUUCCUGAUGAUAGGUGUUAGUAAGGUCCUGCAGCUCUUUUAGGGAAAGUCCUUCUCCUUCCUCAGCAGGCCCGACAUGUUCCCAGCCAUGUUGUGCUGGGACUUAAGUGUUGACCUGGUAGCUAGGAGAGCUGGUGGGAUAGGUCUUAAGCAGAGAUGAGGGACAGGAAGGAAGGAGCUCUGCCUCUCGUUCUCUUGUAAGGCAGUGGUCAUGUACUCUUAGCAGGGAGGAGUGGAUUACUUCUGCACGCCCAGAGGUUUGGGCAGAUGAAGGGUGCUGAAAAUUUCAAAAGCAUGGAUGUCCAUGCUCCAGCCCCAAAUCUCAGCACCCAGCUUCCCAAAGACGGAUCUAACCCUGGUGUGGUAGUAGCUUUGCUCAAGUUGAGAUUCUACUCCCGCUGGAGCUCUGCUACACUGGCAAUGAACUUCCGGACCUAAAUCUCAAACUUUCAGCCCCAAAGUGUCAAUAACAUUCAGCAAUGGUCACUGGAGUCUCAUGUUCUCAGAAUUUUCUUAUCCCUUAGAUUUCUCAAAUGCGUGGGGUGUCAUGCCCUGUGUGUGCCCUGCAGUGUGUCCCUUCCUAGUUCGUGACUGUGAAACUGACAAGCGGUAGAGCAUGCUGUGGCUCUUCAUGCUUCUGUCCCUGGCUCCCAGUGAUGAGGUCUUCACUGCCUGUCAGCCAGAAGGCUGCCCAGUUCUGGAAUUCCAUUUUAGAGUCAAAUUCCUGAGACCAGGCCUGGCACCAGCUGUGCUAAGUUGGGUUCCUUAGGCAGCAGAUUCAGAUAGAAAUCUGCCUCUAUGGAGGACUGAAAUAAGGACAACUGAACAAAUGAAAGAAUUUAACCGAAAUGUAGUUAAUGCAAAGGCCUCACGAAUCCCAGAGGGAGCUCUGGACUCAUUGUUGUCCUGUCUGGAGGCCAGGAUGCCAGGUCUUUCUGCUCCCUGCACUAGCCCAUCACAGGAUGGAGGCUGUCCCUGUGAAGGGGAAGGGUCUCUUGCAGAGGCAGCUGUGUAGCAUUGCAGGCAACUGGGAUGAUUCCUGGAGAAUAAUUUAGCCCUGAGCUGUCGGUGUUGCUGGAGAUCCUCUAGGGAGGAAUGCGGCGUUUGUGGCUGGUUUUCAUAGUUUGAGGGGCUUGGGCUGUUUGAGGCCAGAUUCAGAAAAGUUUUUAUGGACUAAUUUGUUUUUAAACUGGUAACGGCAUUUGAUCUGCAUGGACCAGGAGGUUCCACAUUCCAGAGAUUCUGCUAGAGAGAUGUACACCAAACAGGUUGAGACUUUAAAUAAGAAAGAGUCUCUCUGUUCUCCCUCAUAUAUUCACUAUUCUUGUGAAUGAUCAGGACAAAAAAAAGUGGGCAUUGAAUUUCCAUUGAAGAGAAACCAAGCUCAUAUCCAAGAAUAUCAUCCAAGAAUAUUCUUAUGGGGAAUGCGAAAAAUCAGAGAAGCUUCCCAAAGAAAUUUGGAGUCUUGAGUUCUGGUAAAGGUGGCCAAGGCAGUGGAAGAUGGGCAAGUGUGCCAAGCAGUUCUCCUGUAUCUCACGGGCAGUGAUUUCAUGAAACAUUGUUUCAUGUUUGCUUACUUAUAAAUCAGUGAGAUUGUAGAGAGUAGAAAAGAUUAAUAACGUGAUGCUAUGGACUGAAUUGUGCCCUUCCAAAUUCAUAUGCUGAAGCCCAAAUCCCCAAUGUGACAGUUUUAAGAGAUGGUUCCUUAUGCGAUCAUAAGCAUGGGACUUUGACCCCACUAGUGUCCUUAUGAGAAGAGGAAGAAACAGGCAUGCAGGUGCACAGACAAAAAGCCAUGCGAGGACACAGCAAGAUGGUGCCAUAUUCCAAGCCAAGGAGAGAAGACUCAGAGGAAUCCAACCUUGCGGACACCUUGAUCUCAGCCUUCCAGCCUCCAGAACUGUGAGAAAGUAACAUCUCUUGUUCACAUCCCCAGUUCUUGGCACUUUGAACUGUGAAGCUCUGGCUGACUAAGGCACUGGGCAGCUUGUGAGGCAUUUCUGGUACGCCAGUGUGCCUCAGGACAGUGGUUAGAAAGCUCGCCAGUGUGGAAAUAUCAUUUAGGAGCACAUGCAUAUGUAGGAAAAGUCACAGAAACAAACAAGAAAAGAUAUAAAAACAAACAUAGAAAUGUUAAAAAUCCAAUUUAAGCCAGUGGUUACCUCUGGGAGCUUAUCCCUGGGGAAGGUGGAAGAGGAAGGUGAGGGAAGAAUUGGUUCCAAGUGGGCUUCAGGCCAGGUGCGGUGGCUGUCUCCUGUGAUCCCAGCAUUUUGGGAGGCUGAGGCAGGUGGAUUGCAAGGUUGAGAGAUUGAGACCAUUCUGGCCAACAUGGUGAAACCCGUAUCUCCUAAAAAAAAAAAAAAAUUAAAAAAUUAGCUGGGGGUGGUGACACAUACCUAUAGUCCCAGCUACUUGGGAGGCUGAGGCAGAAGAAUCUCUUGAACCCAGAAGGUGAAGGUUGCAGUGAGCCAAGAUCGUGCCACUGCACUCCAGCCUAGUGACAGAGCAGGACUCUGUCUCAAAAAAAAAAAAAAAAAAGUGGGCUUCAACUAUAUUUGCAAUAUUUUGUUUCUUCAGCUGGUUUUAGUUGCGUUGUUAUUGUUUAUAUUUUUCUUUAUAUUAUGUUGCAUGCAUUUUUCUUUCAUAGAUUAGAAAAAAGAAUAGUAAAACAUUUCCAAGAGAUACUGAUUAACUUAAUAAAUAUGUGUUCAACUUGCUUUUCAUGGUACUGAUAGAAUAGACAGGAAAAGGUAAUUAAAUACAUACUUGGCCUUAUUUUUCUUUUUCUUUUUAAGUUCGUACGGCCAGCAAAGCCUCACAAGCUCUACUAAUACCUGUGGGCUAAGCCACUGAGAAAUUCACAUGACACUGCUGUUGAUUUAGCCAAAGGACUAGUAGGGAGACUGUACUACUGGAUCCACGCCAAAUCAGAAACAAAGAACUCUAUCCUAGUGUUCCUAGACUAUAGUUAUAAACAGAGAAACAAAGUAUUUCCGAUAAAAGCCAAUUCAUAAAAUUGGGAGAAAUGACCGUUACAGCAGAUAUGCAGAUAUUAAUGUAAGGACACAAGAAACAUUAAAAAACAAGAAAUCGUGAAAUCAUUUUUCAGUGAAACUGUGUUGCCACUGACCAAGCCAUCCUUUCCAAUUCUGGUUCUGGACCCAACUUAUAAUUGGCUUUUUGCUUUUGCAAGGUGAACGGACUUAUGGCUGCAGGGCUUCCCUAUUUCAGGAUCAUACCUUCCGGUGUGAUGUCUUCAGUCAUUUGAUGCACAUUUAACACGAAGGUUUUAUUUCUGCCAUGAGGCCAGCCAUCACUAAGAUUUGCUGCAGAUUCCAUUCAGUUGUCCUUGUGGAAGUUUUUAUGUCCUAUGAAGUUCAAAAUAAUAUGAAUUGCUGUGGCCUGAAUGUUUGUGUGUCCCCCAAAGUCAUAUAUUAAAUCCCUGACCCCCAGAGCGAUGGCAUUAGGAGGUGGGCCUUUAGGGGGUUCUUGGGUUUAGAUGAGGUCAUAAGGGCAGAGCUCUUGUGAAUGGGACUAGUGCCCUUGUAAAAGAGGCUCAGCGAGAUUGCCCACCCCUUCCACCCUAUGAGAUCACAUGAAGAAAGUACCGUCUAAGUACCGAAAGCAGGCCCUCACUAGACCCUGAAUCUCAAAGCACCUUGAUUUUGGACUUCCCAGCCAACAUCUGAUUCCACAAACAACAGAGAUGGGAGGUAAGUACAGCAGGUGCUGGGACUGUCCCAUUGCGGGGGUGCAGAAGCAGAAACCUUCACACAGAGGCAAAGAAACAGAUCGUGGUAGCAAGUGUCAAUGCCAGAGGUUAAGAUUGAAGCUUCUCCCUCCACAUCAUUUCUCCUUCAUAAACCAAAUCCACCCCCGAACCCCAGGGACCAAGCAUGGCUUAUAAGCAUUCUCCUCCAGGGUGCAGGUACCAUUCUGUCACCAGCAAGGAAGGCUGAUAGGAAGGAGGUGAGAGCCACAGAUCAGGAGGUCAUUUCAUGGGAUCACAGGGUGCAAGCGGUUGGUGCUGCUCCCAUUUUCUGGGUGUCGGUGACAUUUCCUGAGGCUUUGCAUGAUCUCCGACAAUCAGACCUAAUGACAGCCUUUGUGGUAACCUGGCCAGGUCUGACUCAGCUCCAGCCCUGUGCUUAGGCAGCAGGAAGUGAUCUCAUCAACUCUGUGGGAAGUUCCUACAUUGUACUGGAGAAAACAGAAUCCAAAAAAAUUCAAUAGAAAAGAAAGUCCUCAUCAGCAAGAAUAGGAGUUUGAAACAUAAGAAGUAAUUAAGGUAGGAAGUUGGGAGCAUUUUAGGUGGGAAAUGUUAUUAACUUUGAUUUAGGAGCAGAUAACUUGGUGCAAAAUAGAAACAGGCAGUCAGGUCAAAGUCCCUUUUGUUUUAUUCACACUUGCUAUGCAUAUUAUUCAAAACUUACAAAAUGAUAUAACUUUCUCUCAAACAAGGUUUAAAAACCCUUUGAUUAAGGAAGGUGUAAAUGCUCCUUAAUAAAAUGGGGACCUACCAGACCCGAAUCUGAUUGUUUUAAAGUCUUCUCUUUAGCUUCCUGUUUCCAAGGGGAUUUUUCCCCCAGAAAUAGAUUGCUUAUUGGAUGUUGCUGCUCUAAUUUUGGAGACUGUAUGUUCUAGGUAUUCCGGGAGAGAUCUGCAUUUUAAAUCCUGGAUCCAUUGUUCCCCAAAGCCACGUAAGAAUCCCAAGAAAGACAGGCCCCUCCCAUGGCUGUGUCCUACGUCCUACGGAUACCGCUCUGAGCAUUUUGUGGCUGAAGACAUUAGUCUUUCAUAGAAACUCUUGAAGAAAAUAUUAUUGUUAUUAUUAUCAUAUGCGUUUGGAAAUGAAGACUUAGAAAGAGUCUAACUUGUUCAGUUUCUCAACCAGCAUGUGCCAAAGUUCUGAAAGUCUGUUGUUCUAACCAGCAUCCCACCUUGAGGAGCAAUGAUGUUCAUCUGUCUGGUUGUCACAACUCGUGUCCUUCUGUGGGCAGCAGAGUUCCAAGACGUUCCCCAAGCUCUCCUUCUCUGAGGUGCAUGCCUCCCGUGACCGCCUCUUUGGCUGCCCGCCGAGCCUGUGAAGAUGGCAUUAUCACUCCUGUGUCGACUCCACUGAUCAGGUCCUUUGAAUCAAUCAAAAGAUAGAUUAUCCAUGCGUGCCUGAUUUUAUCAGGUGGUCCCAUAAGGAGCCUUAAAAUGACUCUUUCUGAAGUAGAGUGAUUGGAAAAGUAAGAGGGUCUGUGGGCAGGGUCACCUGGUAAGGACCUGAACUCAGCCUCCAGGGGCUCUGGCCACAGCUAACCUUUAGCAAGAAAGCAAAUCUUUCCUUGGUCAGUCUUCACCACAGGACAAAGCUGGCUGAGCCCUUGCCUUUGGCCCUGUGAGAUGCUGACGAGAGUAUCCAGAGAACAGGUGCCAGAGUCCUGACACACAGAAACUGAGACGAUGAGUCUAUGGUUGCUUUAAGCCACUAUGUCCACAGUAAUUGGUUAGACAGCAAUAGAAAACUAAUAAGCCUCCCUCUUUUUCAUUUACCAUCUUUCUUUCCUUAUGUCCACAAAUAUUUAUUGAGCAUUUAUUCAUGUAUUAGAACAUGUGCUAGGAAUUGUAGUUACAAUGGCCAGCAAAGCCAGAUGAGGUCUCUGGCUUCACGUAGUUUAUAACAUCAAGAGGGAGACAGACAUAAAUCAAAUAACAUGGAUACAUGAAAAGCUGCAACUAAGAUGACUGAGGAGACCCCAUAGCCCAGCCCACGACAGUAUAUAGUAGUUACCUUGGUCUGGCCAGAGAGCACAGGAAACAUGUUCCUUGGGGCAUUAGCAAUUAAGCAAGAGCUGAAAGUUGAGCAGUAAUGGCCAAGGCCAACUUGAAGGGAAGGACAAUGCAAGUAGAGGGAACAGCAUGAACAAAAUCUCUGUGCAGGUAAAAUCGUACAAGUGCAAAGGACAAAAAGAAGGUCCUAUGUGGCUGCACCCUGGCCACUGGGACAGGAGAUGAGGCUGGGCUACUGCAUACAAAGCCUAAAAGCCAAGAAGGGGCUUUCCCUUGUAGAAAGAACAGUGAUGUCGUAGUCAGUUUGGGGUGCUAUAAUAAAUUACCAUAUAUUGGGUGGCUUGAAUGACAGACACUGAUUUUUCACAACUUUGGAGGCUGGGAGGGCCAAGAUCAAGGUGCUGGCAGAUUCAGUGUCUGGUGGGUCUGCUUCCUGGUUUGCAGAUGGCCUUCUUUUCCUUCUAUCCUCAUAUGGUUGAGACAGUGAAGAGAAAGGAAGCAAGCUCUUUCCUGUCUCUCCUUAUGAGGGCAUGCAUCCCUCCACGAGGGCCCCACCCUCAGAACCCAUCAUCUCUUAAAGUCCCCCCCAAUACCAUCCCUUUGGAGCUUGGGGUUUUGACAUAUGAAUUUGUGGGGAGACACACACACACUGUCCAUAGCAAAUGGAAAGCCGAUUACAGGAGGACAUCAAGUAAAAGGAAUGCAGAAAGGCAGGUGGAAAGCAAUUAGUAUAGUCCUCAGGAGAACAGUGAGCUUCCACCUGAGUGAUGGCACACGGGAGGAGAGAGGCGGGUCAGGGGCAGAGAGGAGGCAGGGUGUGUGGUUUGAAAAUUGAUUAGAUAAGUGGAGCAAGAGAGAAGAGUAGCCAGCUUUGGCUCCACCGUCCUCAGAGAAUUUGGAAGAGGAGGAAGAGGAGGAGAAGGAGAAGUGGGAGGAGGGGGAGGAGGAAAAGAAGGAUGUGGGAGAGAAGAGGGCAAGGGAAAGUGGGGGGGAGGAGGAUAGGAAAGAGUGACAGUCAUUGGAAGGAAGGUGCGAGCCUGGUUUGCCCCUCUGGGGAUGAAGGGUCCGUGAUGCAUUCUGGUGGAACUGCCACACAUAUCUACAGCCAAAGGCACAAUCAGGAACAUUUACUACAUAGUAGAGGCGGCUGAAAUGAUGGCAGUGAAUGGAAUCUCAGAUGAUGAGAAAACAGAGAAAAAAGGCCAAGGAUAGAACCAUCUGGGCAGCCUCCACAUCUUUCUCACCUCUUUGGGUGACUCAAAUUUUCUCCUUCUUAAGUGAAGGAAAGUGGGUAGCAUGCACUUCCUUUCGUUAACUAUCUAAUUAAUAAAAAAUGUAAUCAUAAUAAAAAUUAUAUGUAUAAACUAUAAAAUGUAGAUAAUUUGAAUUGUAGAGACUAUGAUGUGAUAUAGUAAGAAUCGAGGCUCUGUCGUGAUAACCUUGACAUUAAGACAAAGACUCAGAUACUUUAUGACAGAUUUAAAUUGGGUGGUUUUAUUAAGUUAUAAACUGUCGAUGUAGACAGCUGUGAUCAGAGGACCUAUGACUGUGCUGAAUGUAUGAGAUACUAUUGAUUUCGUUUGUUUUUAGCUGAGAUUCAAUGUAUUGUUAGUUUUUCGUUCAAGCAAAUCUGGCAGGCAUAAUUUUGAUCUGAAAAUGAAUGCAGAGAAAGAUUUUAUACAUUAUGGACUCAUCAAAUUAUAUGAGAACGUCUACAUUUAGAAAUACAGGGUGUGUUGGCUCACGCCUGUAAUCCCAGAGUUUUGGGAGGCUGAGACAGGAGGAUCACUUGAGGCCAGGAGUUGAAGACCAGUCUCAGCUACAUAGUGAGACCUCGUCUCCACACACACACAUACACAUGCACACACAAUAAAUACACAUAAAAAAUAGGCACAGUGGGUCACACUUGCAGUCCCAGCUACUGAGGAGGCUGAGGCGGGAGGGUUGUUUGAGUCAGGAGUUGGAGGUUGCAGUGCACUGUGAUUGUACCACUGCACUCCUGGGAAAUAGAGCAACGACAUGACAAAAAAAAGAAAAGACGAAAGAAAGAAAGAAAGAGAAAGAAAGAAAGAAAGAAAAGAAAGAAAGAAAGAAAGAGAAAGAAAGAGAGAGAGAGAAAGAAAAAGAAAGAAAGAAAAAGAGAGGAAAGAAGGAAAGAAAAAGAAAGAAAGAAAGAAAGAAAGAAAGAAGACAUAUAUUUGAUUUCCAUUUGUAUUCAGGCAGAAUGGAUUCCAAUCCGAGUUCUGUAUGUACCAUCUCUAUGACUCUGUGGCCCUUGUUUAUUCUAUGAUACACUUAACUUCUUGGGCUGCUUGUGAAAAUUUUAGGGCAUCAAGCAAGUGAAGGGUCUAGAAAGUAGUGGUUAAUUGGUCAGUAGUAAUUGUUUUCCCUGGCUGUCAGGGGUCACCUUUUUUUAAUCUAAAGGGGAUGAUCUAGGCUCCAGUUCUGGGUCUACUUUUCCCCCAAAUAAAAUCCUAUCCUCUCAAGAAGUAAAGUAAGAAAACAGUGAAAGUGUCUAUAAUAUUACCUAAAUGUCUCCUGGGGUACUGUGAAUGGAGUUAGGGAGUUCAUAAAAAAUUCUAGCAUUUCAUUCAUUUUCAGCUGCUAUCUCUGACAUAUGGAAGGCUGUAAUUUCACAGGGAAGUGAAGCCUUACCUCCUACCAGGUGUUAAUAUAUUUUAAGCAAAGAGAUAUUACAACUCUGAAAUUAUUGAAAACCUAUGUUCUUUCCCUGCAAUUGCUUGAGGCAGAUUUUGAAAGCCACAUUUUGAAAUCAGCCUAUGAUGUCAUCAGAACUAGCUGCAAUCGAGGUGACACAGUUGAUGACUCUCUGGGUAGGGCUGGUGUGAGAGACUCUCUGGGUAGGGCUGGUGUGGUAAACAUUUGGGCUUAAGAAAGCUGGAGGACAGAUCUAGUUUUAGAUUUUUAUUAUGCAGUUUUAUCCUUAUUCUCUUAAAAAUUGUACAACUCUCAACUCUCCAAACAAAUGAACAUUUCAUUGCUCUGUAUUCUAAAGCAAUUUUUUAAAACUUGCUUUCUUUCUUUUUCUCAGCUCUCCAUCUCUCAAAAGGUUAAAAAUAAGGUAGAUUGCUUGUGUCCUCUCCAUGCACCCAGUUUCGGCUCAUUUUAAGUGUUUAGUUGACUUAAAUAGCCUUCGAUUCAUCUUGGCACUAUUUCGACUUACCAAGAAGAUGUAAGGACGUAUGUGAUUUACUGCCAUGAUAGCAUGUUGGAGAGGUAUGCUGUGUGUGUGCACACGUGUGUGUGUGAAUGUGUGUUUGCGUCUCCCAAGGAGCAGCAGCAGUGCCUGGUAUUAGCUCUGUUCCUAUUUUUGUCUUUCGCCAUCACUGCUGUCACUGAGCCCACUGUCAUCUGGUAGGAAUAUUUACCCGCUGGAUCUGACUUGGCCGGGUAGCAGUGAACACACAUCUGGAGUCUAGACUUGGCGGCUCUGUGGGCAGGCUCACAGCCCAGGGCUCCGUCAGCCCCAGGGCUCCAACACUCCGGCGCCCUGCUUUGUUGACAUAGCUGGUGGGCUGCCUCAUCAGUUUCAGCUGCCGGACCCCCUGCCCGCCCCCAGCCUUCCCCAUCCCUGCCAUAUCCCAGCUCUGUCUGUGCACUUUGGAGAGCCACCAGAGGAGUCCCUCCCCUGCUUCCUUCGGUGAGCCCCUCUACUCAGGAUGCUUUCCUGGAGGAGAAAGGAAGGAGGAAUCCAUGUUAAUGUGGAAGCUGCAGCCAAUGGUUCUGCUUCAGAGAUGAGGGGUUGCUUUGCAUUGGAGAGAAGAGCUCUGAUAAAUGCACUAAGCUCAAGAGACAAAAAAAAUCUGAUGGGAUAAAACCGAUAUAUACAUUGAAGUAUCUGAUUUAGGUUUAAAUCAUAUACUCAGCCGUUAUACCACAUGUGUGGCCUGGAAGGUCUUUGAAGCUCAAAUUCAUUAUCUAUAAAUUCAGGGGAAGAGUGAUGACCGCAAGACGUUGUAGGGCAGGACAUCAACCUGAAUAAAGAUAAAAGGUCUAGUUCAAUGUCGGCCUUAAAGUGGCAAAUAAAAAUUCGUUCCCUUUUUCGUAGUCUAUGUUUUCUAGUCUAGUCUUUUACACAAAUGAGAGUUAUUCUUUGACUCAAGGCAAGAAAAACAUCCUUGAGAUUUGCUAAAAUUAGAGGAUGCUUAUGGGGAAACCUUCAUGUGAGAUGAGAAGUUUUUGAAAAAGGUCCAACAGCAAUACCUGCUUUUAGAUAGAAAGUAACAGAGACAGAGGUGACCACAUUCUUGUGGCAACACUUCCCAUGUGAGAUCUUGUUUUCUCUUCUCUACUUUUAUAAAAUGAAACUAGUGUGAGGCUUUGAUAAUGGAUUGGUGACUUCUGUAGAAUCAGGCUGAGCCCCCCGUGAGUUGGGGUUCCCCUGAAACGUCAAGCUUGACAUUUGAGAGACUCUUAAUGCACAUGCAUUGGUCUAUGCUUUAACUGCAAUGGGUUCUUACUGUAUUUCCCUCACAAGAAGGCUAAAACAUAUGUAACAGUUAUUUUCAUAGGUCCCUCAUCAGUUAUAUCUGCAAUAAAAUGAUACCUAAAUCAAUUUCUUUCAAAAACAAUUAUUUGGAUGUCUACCUAGCAAAUGGAAGUGUUUGAGAAAUUAUCAGUUUCUUUUGGAAAGUCUAUUUUAUCAUACUGGUUGGGAAACCAUGGUCUGCAGCCCGCAGACAGAAACUGUAGCUCCGCCUCCAAGCCUAAAAUAUGUACUCUCUGGCUCCUUACAGAAAUGCUUGUGGAUACUUGUAAUUAUAUAAAUCAAUAAAAUUAAAAAGUGCAGUUCUCUUUUAAAAUUGGGAAUACCUGUCAGUAUAGUGUGACCGUGGUAUUUUCUGGUUUAUCAUCCACCCUGCAUGCUCAUUGACCACGGUAUUCUGAGCGAGUGAGGACUGCUGUGACAGAGCACCAGUGGACUGCCUGGUGGCUUAAGCAGCAAACAUUUAUUUCUCACAGUUCUGGAGGCUAAAACUCCAAGUUCAAGGACAAUUUGACUGGAGAGGGCCCUCUUCCUGGCUUACAGAUGGCUGCCUUCUCACGGUGUCCUCACAUGGAGAAGAAGAGACCUCUUCUGUUUCUUUUCUUUUUUCUUUUCUUUUCUUUUUUCUUUUUCUUAGAGCUUCACUCUUUUUUCCCCGGUUGGAGUGCAAUGGAGUGAUAUGGGCUCACUGCAACAUCCACCUCCCAGGUUCAAGCAAUUCUCCUGCCUCAGCCUGCAAAGUAGCCGGGAUUACAGGCGCCCCCUACCACAGCCGGCUGAGUUUUGUAUUUUCAGUUGAGAUGGGGUUUCACCUUGUUGACCAGGCUGUUCUUGAACUCCUGACCUCAGGUGAUCUGCCUGCCUCAGUCUCUCAAAGUGUUGGGAUUAUAGGUGUGAGCCACCACACCUGGCCUCUGUUUCUUUUGUUAUAGAUUCUAAUCCUAUUGUGGAGGCUCCACCCUUGUGACCUCCUCUAACUCUGAUUUCCUUCUAAGGGCCUUAUCUUCAAAUACCAUCACAUUGGAGGUUAGGGCUUCUACAUUUGCAUUUUAGAAAGGAGGGGAAUGCAAACGUUCAGCCUACAACAAUUGCAUGAUACAUUAUUUACCAUGGUGUAGAAAGCCUUUCUUUUUCUGACCUUAACACGGCAACUUCAUUCCACGGUACUCAUCUCUACCCACCUUAUGUUCCAUACAAAUGAUGGGUACUCACAAUAGUCUGUGGGAACGUAAAUGGGGGAAGAGAGAGUUCUGUCUGAAGCCACCAGAGACAUUUAAGUGAAAAAGAGUAUAUAUGAGUUGAAGAAUAGCAGAUAAACCGGCCACAGGUGUUCUAGCCUGUCUAAGCAGCACAGCCCAGCCUGGCUAGAGGCGUGAAAUGCUGUGAUGUGCUCCAGGAACCAAGUCAUGUCAAAGAGCAAGAGAUCGGGCAAGUGAGGCAGAGCUGCAUUCACAGAUCCACUCUGCUACUGACCAGAGGAGCAUCUCUGGGAAAGUACUUCGGUUCCUAAGUUUCAGUAUUCUCACCUGUGAAAUGAGAAAAUUAAUGGCACCUGCCUUCUUUUUGUUUUUUUUUUGAGACGGAGUUUCGCUCUUGUUACCCAGGCUGGAGUGCAAUGGCGCAAUCUCGGCUCACCACAACCUCCGCCCCCUGGGUUCAGGCAAUUCUCCUGCCUCAGCCUCCUGAGUAGCUGGGAUUACAGGCACGCACCACCGUGCCCAGCUAAUUUUUUGUAAUUUUUAGUAGAGACGGGGUUUCACCAUGUUGACCAGGAUGGUCUCGAUCUGUUGACCUCGUGAUCCACCCGCCUCGGCCUCCCAAAGUGCUGGGAUUACAGGCUUGAGCCACCGCGCCCGGCCCUGGCACCUGCCUUCUAAGGUUGCUGUCCUUGUCGUUACAUAUAACAUCUCCACCAUGGUCCUCCCUCAUUAAAGCAAACUCAGCUCAAAGAAACAUAAGCUAAAGAAAAUACCAGCCCAGACAGAGCCCCAUCUCCAUGUCUGUUGCCUGCUGGUCAAGGCCACACUCAGGGAUGUCUCCUUGCACUUUGGAAUCCUGAUGAAAACACUGCGUAGUGCAGUUUGUCUUAAAAGAAUUGUACCACCUAAAGUGUCUGAAAUCAUGGUCAGCAAGCUCUUUGCCUGCUAUUACGAUACAGACAUGCUUGUGGCUGUAACAGUGACCUAGAAUCAGGGUUUUGAUUUAUAUUUGGUUUGGGUUUGGUUUAACCACCUAUCAUGUUCCAGCUUGUUGACUAGUAGCAAAAAUCUAGCAGGUUAACCAGACUAGUAUUUCAGUUUUAGCAACAUGAAAGUAUAUGGAAAUAUAAUCACUUGAAGGGUGAAUUUUGUCUUUAUUACAUUUUAACGUCAUUGGCUUGUACAAUCAGUUACAUAAAUAGAUUUUAAAAAUCAGGUGCCUUCAAUAUGAUUCCAUCAAUCUUUAGCAUUCUAUUUUAGAUUUAUAAUAUUUUAACUCUGGGGACAAAUAUAUUAUUUAAUACUUAAAGCGAAAAUUUCUAGCAUUAACAUAUGUACUUACUUCUAUUUUUUUUGCUUCAUAUAAGUGAAAAAUUAGCCCAAAUAAAGAAUAAGAUACCUAGUAGACCUUCUUUUUGUAGUCACCAGUCACCAGAAUUAAUUGGUGCAUAAGUCAAAGACUGUGGGAUGAAGGACUUGGUGUGUCAUCAAGCAGUCCGGAGACCAGUUAGCAUUGUUCAGUGAGUGUGGGCAUAUGUGUGUGCCUGUCAAGUGUGUGUGUGCAUAAACCUGUGUGCAUGCGUGACUGUGUGUACAUGUGUUUACACGCCUGACAAUGUGUGUACCUGCAUAAAUAUGCAUAUGCCAAUAGGCUUAAGCAUGAAAUAAGCUGAUGUUUGCACAUGAGGAAAUACCUGUCCCUUAAAUAAGGCGGCAUUGGCUGGGCACCGUGGCUCAUGCGUGUAAUCCCAGCACUUUGUGAGGCAGAGGAGGGCAGAUCACGAGGUCAGGAGUUGGAGAUCAGCCUGGCCAACAUGGCGCCACCCCAUCUCUACUAAAAACACACACACACACACACACACACACACACACAAAAUAGCUGGGUGUGGUGGUUUAUUUCUGUAGCUCUAGCUACUCGGGAGGCUGAGGCAAGAGAAUCACUUGAACCUGGGAGGUGGAGGUUGCAGUGAGCUGAGAUCACACCACUGCACUCCAGCCUGAGUGACAGAGUGAGACUCCAUCUAGAGAAAAAAAGAAUAGGCAGCAUUGGCACCAUUGAAAUUUUCUCAAGGGAUAGAAAUCACGUGGAAAUCUUGUCCCUAUUGAAUAAGACAAGCUCCAGGGUCCCCUAAUGACAUUCUUGCCUUUGGGUGGAGGUCUUGCUGCAUUUAGCAGCGGGACGUGAUUUUGAGUCAUGAGCUGCUCUCCCCAGUAGCUGGGCUCCUUCUGAGCUGAUGGGCAGAAGCCAGAAUUCUACGGAGAAGCUGGCUCACACCAUGCUCUAUCUGUGACAAGCUGGUUUGGCACAUGAAGUGGGAACAUCUUCAUUGUCACCAGCAGGACCAGCAGCAGAAGCAGAUUUUGCUUUUCUGUGG